AUACGGAGGAUCCGAGCGUUAUCCGGAUUUAUUGGGUUUAAAGGGUGCGCAGGCGGCCAUUUAAGUCAGCGGUUAAAUCGUGGGGCUCAACCCCAUUCUGCCGUUGAUACUGGGUGGCUUGAUUGCGGUCGAGGUUGGCGGAAUUCGUUGUGUAGCGGUGAAAUGCAUAGAUAUGACGAAGAACACCGAUUGCGUAGGCAGCUGACCAGACCGCAAAUGACGCUCGUGCACGAAAGUGCGGGGAUCGAACAGGAUUAGAUACCCUGGUAGUCCGCACAGUAAACGAUGAAUACUUGUUUUCGGCGAUAUAAUGUCGGAGGCAAAGCGAAAGCGAUAAGUAUUCCACCUGGGGAGUACGCCGGCAACGGUGAAACUCAAAGGAAUUGACGGGG
rnacentral:rRNA from 1 species